rnacentral:tRNA from 4 species
UGCGGGGUCGUUCAGCGGCAGGACGCCUGGCUCUGGACCAGGUAACGGUGGUUCGAAUCCAUCCCCCGCAGCCA